GUGUUCGUUUCGGCAGCACAUAUACUAAAACUGGUACAAUACAGGGAAGAUUGGCAUGGUCCCUGUAAGAGGAUGACAUGCAAAUUUGUGACGUGUUCCAUAAUUUU
ensembl:snRNA U6 U6 spliceosomal RNA